UUACAGCCAUAUCAAGUUGAAACACCGGUUCUCGCCCGAUCAGGAAGGUUAAGAUAGUUUGAGGCGGUCAGUAUUUAGAUGGGUGACCGCUUUGAAAUAUCAGGUGCUGUAC